AUGGUUUCUGCUGAAAAUAAACCAAAGAAGAAAAGAAAAGAUGAAAAGAAAAACCUUUGCAGUGCCUGGGAGGGCUUCAAUGCUGAUAAUGGCCCGAACGAUGAUAAUAUGUUUUAUGGAUGCCAGAAGCCUAAACAGCAGGUUAAGCAGAAAUGUAGAUAUCUGGAUGAGAAGAACAUUAUGUUGUCACAUCAUUUAUUAAGUGAGCCCUGGUCCACUAGCUCAGAGGGGAGUGAUGUGGCAGAAAAAUUACCCCCAGGAUGGGAUGCAUCUCAAGAUAAUACUCUCUCCACUAAAUCUCCUGUGGCCCUCCCAGCAGAAGCUUGUUCUUUGAGCCAAAGCACUUUUGACACUGACUGUUUCCCAACAAAUAACAAUAUGUUCACUAACUUGAUAAUCCAUAAACGGAAAAUCAUUAAUGGUCUCAGCCCAGUGCGCACAAGCAGCUUAGAACUGCAACGAACCCUGCCGCUGAUACGAUGGGCUCCUGCUACCUCUCAAGUGCAGAUGACCGAGGAGCCAGUGGCCUGGCGAAGUAAAGGAUUUGUUACAGUGAACCGUGAAGCAAGGCCUGCUGAACUAACACAAAUCUGGAAAAGGGCACCUAGCAAGAAGCUGGAGUGGUGCCAAGAGAGCCUGGCCAGGUUGGCUCAUCUGCAAGCUCAGUCACCCAACAAUGCCUCGUUUGUGGCCAGAACCAGACCAGUGAUCCGGAGAGCAGCCGGGCUAACUGUGGGUCAUAGGAGGGUGCAGGUGCAGGACAGUCAUGUGGAACAGAACUUCUGUCAGAAAGCAGAGACUAAACGUACAGGUCUGCCAAAUGGCAGCGGGUCAGCCCCACUAGCACAGACACAUAAACAAGGCCUUUGGAGCUCAACCCAAACAGAGGCAAAACACAGCAGAGAACUGGGGCAACAAGAUGGUGGUCAUUUUCAUGGGGAACAAGGAACCAUUUCCAUGGGCUGCUCAAAUUUGAGCAGGCUGUCGGACACACUGUCUUUGCUGGGAUACCGAGGGUACAGUGAGACCACCACCAUUCCCCGAGAUGUCACCUUAUUUCAUGUUCUCCAAGUUCUACAGAGCAAACCAGUCAAUUUUCAACAGGUCAAGGUCCAGAGACGCCUUGAGGCCCUUUAG
ensembl:lncRNA